rnacentral:lncRNA from 1 species
UGGUUGCUUAAAAAAAUUUGAAUUGGAUGUUCUGAAGAAAAAAAUCUGAUGGUUGGCAGAAAUUAUGGAAACUGUUAAGGAAACCAAAACAUAAUUACCAAAUUUAAUAAUAAAUUAAUUUAUUUCGUUUUCUAGCACUGUGUGUACGCUGCUUUUUCAUAUGAUUUUGGCUAUGCUGUGUACACCCCUGCUUUAUUUAAUCAAAACAUUAUAAGGUGCAUGCCAAAUGAAGGUAAAGUCAAUAGAACGUUUCGAAUAUACUGUAAAUUCAGAAAUUAUUGCAAUGUUCACGUGGUUAUUAUUACAAAAAAAUGUUGUACUGGUAUACCACUGUCCCAGGUUAGGGGGAGGGUUGGGAUCCCGCUUACAUGUUUAACCCCGCCACAUUAUUUAUGUAUGUGACUGUCCCAAGUCAGGAGCCUGUAAUUCAGUGGUUGUCGUUUGUUUAUGUGUUACAUAUUUGUUUUUCGUUAAUUUUUUUUUUAAACAUAAAUAAGGCCGUUAGUUUUCUCGUUUGAAUAGUUUUACAUUGUCUUAUCGGGGCCUUUAAUUGCUCACUAUGCGGUAUGGGCUUUGUUCAUUGUUGAAGGCCGUACGGUGACCUAUAGUUGUUAAUUUCUGUGUUAUUUUGGUCUUUUGUGGAUAGUUGUCUCAUUUUCAAUCAUACCACAUCUUCUUUUUUAUAUUAUAAUUGCAGUAAUUUAAACUUGCGUUUUGAAUUUUUUUAUAUCAAUUAAAUAGGGUUUUUCUCAAU